rnacentral:misc_RNA from 1 species
ACGCACAUUGCGCCCAUUAGCAUUCUAAUGGGCAUGCCUGUUCGAGCGUCAUUUCAACCCUCAGGCCCUAAGCGGCCUGCUGUUGGGGCAUCUGCGUCUGACCGCAGGCCCUGAAAGAUAGUGGCGGUGUCCGCUAGCACUCCGGGCGCAGUAGAACUCUUUCUCGCCGAGGAUGUCUUGCGGGCUGCCGGCCGUAAAACACCCCAACGAUAGAAGGUUGACCUCGGAUCAGGUAGGAAUACCCGCUGAACUUAAGCAUAUCAAUAAGCGGAGG